rnacentral:lncRNA from 1 species
GACACAAAACCAAACCAUAUCAGUCUUUAAAGAGUUAAGUUAAAAUAAGCUCUUUAAAGUGGGCCCUAAUCCAGUAUGACUGGUGUUCUUAUAAGAAGAGGAGAUUUGGUCACAGACAUGGUUGCAUGCAGAAUAAAGACUUUUCGAGGACACACUGAGAAGGCAGCCAUCUGCAAAACAAGGAAAGAGUCCUCAGCAGAAACCAGUCCUGCAGACUCCUUGAUCUUGGACUUCCAGCCACUGCAAUUUAAUGGUGCCAAGACCAUCAAUGGGGAAUGGACAGCAUCUUCAAUGAAUGGUGCUGAGAAAACUGGAUAUCUACCUGCUAAAGAACCAACUGGGUCCUUACCUUAUCUUACCUUACCUUAUACUAUAUGUACAAAUCAAUUCAAAUGGAAUAAAGACAUAAAACUAUAAAGCUCCUAGAAGAAAACAUAGGGCAAGAGCUUUAUAACAUUGCAUUUGUCAAUGAUUUCUUGGAUAUGACACCAAAAGCACAAGCAACAAAAGAAAAAAUAGAUAAACUGAACUUCACUGAAAUUGAAGACUUUGUGCCCUAAAGGACCCUUGCAAGAGAGUGAAAAGGCAACCCAAAGAAUGGGAGAAAGUAUUUGCAAAUAACUUUAUCUGGUAAGGAAUUAAUAUCUAGAAUAUAUAAAGAGGUCCUAUAAUUAAAACAAAUGAGCAGCCCAGUUCAAACCUGGUCAAAGGCUCUGAAUAGAUAUUCCUCCAAAGAAGAUAUACAAAUGGCUAAUAAGUACCAAAAGAUGUGCAAUGUCACUAGCCACUAGGGACAUGCAAAUCAAAACCACAACAAGAUACGAUUUCACACUUAUAGGAUUGCCAUUACCAAAAAACAAAAAAUUUAAAAAAAAAACAUAUUGGUAAGGAUGUAAAGACAUUGGAAGCUUUGUACAUUUCUGAUGGGAAGGUAAAAUGGUGCAGUCACUGUGAAAACACUUUGGUAGUUCCCCAAAAAAUUAAACAGAAUUACUAUAUGAUCCAGCAGUUUCACUCGUAGGUAUAUAUCCAAAAGAAAUGAAGAGAGAGAAUCAAACAGACGCCAAUAUUCACAGCAGUAUUAUUCACCAUAGCCAAAAUGUGGAAACAACUCAGAUGUCCACCAACAGAUGACUGAAUAAACAGAAUAUGGUAUAUACAUAGAAUGGAAUAUUAUUCAAGCCUAAAAAGGAAUAAAGUUCUGACACAUGCUACUACAUGAAUGAACCACAAACAUUAUGCUAAGUGAAAUAAGCCAGAUAUAAAAGGACAAAUAUUAUAUGAAUCUACUUACAUGAGGUACCUAGAACGGGCGAAUCCAUAUAGACAGAGGGUCGAAUAGAGAUUACCAGGGGCUGGAGGGAGGAAGGAAUGGGGGUUAAUGUUCAAUAGGUGCAGAGUUUCUGUUUGGGAUGAUUAAAAGUUCUGGAGAUAGAUGACUAUGACGUUUGCACAAAAAUGUAAAUGUACUCAAUGUCAUUGAAUUGUACACUUAAAAGUGUUUAAAAUGGUAAAUGUUAUGUAUAUUUUACCACAAGAAAUAAAAUAUAGACUGGAGGUCCUCAUGUCAUGGAAAAUUGUUUUUCUGUCACUUAGUAUGUAAAGUGGAUGUGUUCUAUUUACUGAAGAGUCUUCGAGAUCAGGGAGGAAAGACAGAAUUCAUAGAAAAGAGACAGCACCUGAAUUUUCCAGUGCCCCCUGCAGCCCUUACUCAUGCUCAUCAAUCUAAGGUUUUCUGCAAUCAAUUUUCUUCUUUCCCCCUUUCAAAUGCUUUUCAUGAUGGCAAAUAAGGAUGUCAAGCUUCAGCACCCUUGCAUCUCUGGAUAAAUGAAAUGUCACCCCAGCUGCCGUCCUUGUUCAGAUCUGUGCAAUAAAGAGCAAAGCAUAAAACCAAGUCAAGGCUUUGAGGGAGUGACCUACAAAAUGCAUAAUGUGAAACAAUGCAAAAGCGAAAGGUGCAAAAUCCCCAUCAAAGAGCUGGAGGCUGACAGAUGCGCCAGUGAUAAUUCCCAUCUUCCAACACAGGAGCACAGCUUCCAUUUUCCAUAACAGAACAACAGCCAGAGCAGCUGGAAGGCAGGGCCGCAUCCCAGACUUCCACCAACAAUGGGAUGAGACUUGACAUCUGGAAUCACAACCACAACAGACCUGAGAGACCCACCAGCUUGAUGACAAGCUUCUUCUUUCAAAGAAAGGUAUCAGUCUGGGGGACCUAGUGCUGCAAACCAUGACAAAUUAAGUGUGGCAUCCCUCACUUGCAUAAUGGAACUCAGUGAUAUUUUUUAAUUAACAAGAGUUAUUUUUAUGUAAGCUUCUCUCAUUCCUCCACUGUGCGUGCUCGGGGGCUGGUGGUGAGGAAAAAGAAAACAGCUGUGCGGGAAGCAUCAAGAAAAGGCAAGUCAUGAAGUCUUAGAGAUCAGUGACAUGUAAGAAAAAGAGUGAGGAGAAAAAUAUUCCUACUAAAGUUUUCCAUUUGUUUACCUUCCUUGUCACAUAGACUUCCAAGAGUUAGAAGUCUAGGAUUUGAUCUCCAAAUCUUCCUGGCAGAUUACUCAUCUUCAUUUCAUUCAUAUAGUCCAGGGGUUUGUACAAAGGAAGAUGCCAGUUCUUCCCCAAUCAUAACUAAGAUAUCAAGAGAUAUUCUUUUGAAAUGUAACAAAGGAGAUCUGAAGUUCAUCUGAAAAAAAUAAAUGGUUUUAGGCGGUCAUGACCAUGGGAUGCUGGACCAGGAUGGUAAGCUUCAGGAAACAGAAUCUGGAGAAUGCCCAGCUGCUCCCACAGGAAGCAUCAGGGAAGAAGAAGAAGAGGUGUGAAGUCUGCCUUCUGCUCUGCUGGGAUCCCUUUCACAUCUCCUUUGCCUCCAGGCAGUUUUGGUUCCUGGCCAUUUCCAGGUGUGACUCACUCAGGAUGGUAAGCAUCUUCUCUCCUACCCAGAGUAGAGGAUGAAGACCUCAUCUCAGAGGUUGAAGGGAGCUCCAGAGAGAGGUCUCAAACUUCCAGCAUUAACUGCUAAAGAAGCUUCAUGAGCUGCUGGAGAACCUGGGAAAUGACCAAUUAUAGGGACAGAGCUCAAAUACUCUGGGACACUCUAGUAGCUGAGAAAGUUCCAACUCCAGGGUGAUAGAGGACUGCCUGGCAAACCAUCAUCAAAGCAGAAGACCUGAUACUAACAUCACAGGCUAUGGUUUAUUACUGAAGAUCAGUGCUUACACCCUGCCAGAGGUUCAGAAGCAAACUUAUCAUUGUUCUCCCUGGAGAUGUUGGCCCACAUUCUGAAAAGUGUGGUCAGUAGUAGCAACAGAAAGCAAUUGUGCUUGCCAAGCACAAUGUCACUGUCCCCAGCCCUUCCCCCAACACAACCCAGUAGGUGCUUCCUGGCUGCAAACUUGGGAAAGUCACUUGACCUGUCUGAGGUUCCACUUCCUAAUCUGGCCUGGCGAAGAUAAGAAAAACAGUUUAUUUAAAGUGUCUAGCAAAGUGCUUGGACCAAAAUAGGACCUCUGAAAUGGUUAUGGUAGUGCUGUUAAGGUGAUGUUUUAAGUGCUGAUGAGCACAAAGAUGGGUAAGAUAUUCCUUCUGUUAAAAUCUACAGUCUAAUGAGAGAGAACAAGAUGAAUGCACAAUAACUGUCAUUCAGAACAGGAUUAUGAGAAGGUGUGAAUUUCUGUGAAAAAUCAGAACAGGGAGUAAUAUGAUCCCAGGUGAUUGGCAGGGGGUGGGGGUCUGGAUUCAACUGGAGAGGGAGCUGGCAGGGAAGGCUUCCUGGAGGAUGAGAGUUCAACAAGGGGCAGGUGUAGGAUGUGGGUGGCCAAGUGACUGGGCAGAAGGAGCUGCAGAAGUAAGACCCCAAAUCAGGAAGACAAGGGCCUGCUGAGAAACACGAGCUACAAAGUGCAAGUGCAGGAAGAGUUGGGAUGAGAUUAGAAGGGGGUCUGGGGCCAGACUGUGGAAGGCCCAAAUGCCGGGCUAAGGAGUUUGUACUUAAUUCAGUGGUCAACGGGGAGUCAUUGGAGGCUGUUGAGCAGGAGAGUUGCUUUCUUUACAGCUGUGCCAGACUAAAUUAAACCUAAACAGUACUUUAUAGCUGGAAAGGGAAGGCCCAGGAAUAGCUCUUGACUCAGAAACAGGCAUUGGGGAAGGUAAUGAGAAACAGCCGUGACUGAUCAAAGCAGAGAGGUUAAUUAAAUUUGUAAUUAUUGUGAAAGGCCAUUAAAAACCCUAGUUCACUAGAGAUAACUGCUCUAGUGGGGCUUCAAAGACAAACGCUUCUUUUAACCUUGAAUAGGGGGAUGUUUGCUUCUCUGUGGAGGAGAUAUGAUUAAGAUACUUAAUAAAUGGUAGAUAAACAUGCACACGUGUGUGUUCUCUGUAAACCCACUCUUCGUCCCUGCAUAUAUCUGUGUAGCUAUGUAGGGUGCUCCACAAGAGGGGUCCCCAGCCCCCAGGCCAUAGAGCGUUAUGGGUCCAUGACCUAUUAGGAACCAGGCCACACAGCAGGAGUUGAGCAGAGGGCAAGCAAGCAAAGCUUCAUCUGUAUUUACAGUC